UACGUAGGGUCCGAGCGUUGUCCGGAAUUACUGGGCGUAAAGAGCUCGUAGGCGGCUUGUUGCGUCGGCUGUGAAAACCCGCAGCUCAACUGUGGGCUUGCAGCUGAUACGGGCAGGCUUGAGUUCGGUAGGGGAGACUGGAAUUCCUGGUGUAGCAGUGAAAUGCGUAGAUAUCAGGAGGAAUACCGAUGGCGAAGGCAGGUCUCUGGGCUGACACUGACGCUCAUGCACGAAAGCGUGGGGAGCAAACAGG
rnacentral:rRNA from 1 species